AUGAUGAGCGGUAAUGCUGAUGGUGGAACAAGGGUUGGCGGUGGUACUGAGGCUGCACAAGUUGAAUGUUCAACAUCACUGGCAAGAGACAUGGUUAGGGAUCAUGGUCUUGCCACAGGGUUGUGUGGCCAGCCUGGGAUUGCUGAGUACAUGGAGAAGUGCAGAAUUCCGUACAAGGUCAUUUCCAAAGGAAGGGAGCAGGAUAGGGUGAGUGGUGCUGGGAAUCCGCCAGGUGAUCCGGCGGUGAAGAGUGAGUGGGGAGAGAUGUUCCGUCAUUCCGUCGGACUAAACCAUGACCAGCUCUCGCUUCAGGAUGUUCUUCGGUUCUAUGACAACAUGCUGGGCUGUUCUAGGGAACUGCGGAAGAAAUGGUUUAGGUACUUCAAUCCGUUUGCGGUGGUGAUGUCCAAGCAAGACCUGAAGGAUGAACUAGGACUUGGUGGUGAGUUAUCAAUGACUGGCUGGAGGUGCAUCCAUGGCAUGAUAAGUGCCAAGAAAUGA
rnacentral:rRNA from 1 species